AGUGAACGCUGGCGGUAGGCCUAACACAUGCAAGUCGAACGGCAGCACAGUAAGAGCUUGCUCUUACGGGUGGCGAGUGGCGGACGGGUGAGGAAUACAUCGGAAUCUACUUUUUCGUGGGGGAUAACGUAGGGAAACUUACGCUAAUACCGCAUACGACCUACGGGUGAAAGCAGGGGAUCUUCGGACCUUGCGCGAUUGAAUGAGCCGAUGUCGGAUUAGCUAGUUGGCGGGGUACAGGCCCACCAAGGCGACGAUCCGUAGCUGGUCUGAGAGGAUGGUCAGCCACACUGGAACUGAGACACGGUCCAGACUCCUACGGGAGGCAGCAGUGGGGAAUAUUGGACAAUGGGCGCAAGCCUGAUCCAGCCAUACCGCGUGGGUGAAGAAGGCCUUCGGGUUGUAAAGCCCUUUUGUUGGGAAAGAAAAGCAGCAGGUUAAUACCCCGCUGUUCUGACGGUACCCAAAGAAUAAGCACCGGCUAACUUCGUGC
rnacentral:rRNA from 1 species